CCUACGGGAGGCAGCAGUGGGGAAUCUUGCGCAAUGGGCGAAAGCCUGGCGCAGCGACGCCGCGUGGGGGAAGAAGGCCUUCGGGUUGUAAACCUCUUUCAGCAGGGACGAAGCCACUCGGGUUAAUAGCCCAGAGGGUGACGGUACCUGCAGAAGAAGCCCCGGCUAACUACGUGCCAGCAGCCGCGGUAAUGCGUAGGGGGCAAGCGUUGUCCGGAUUUAUUGGGCGUAAAGAGCGUGUAGGCGGCCAGACAAGUCCGUUGUGAAAACUAGAGGCUUAACCUCUAGACGUCGAUGGAAACUGUUUGGCUAGAGUCCGGAAGAGGAGAAUGGAAUUCCUGGUGUAGCGGUGAAAUGCGCAGAUAUCAGGAAGAACACCCGUGGCUAAGGCGGUUCUCUAGUACGGUACUGACGCUGAGACGCGAAAGCGUGGGGAGCGAACAGGAUUAGAUACCCUGGUAGUCCACGCCGUAAACGAUAGGUGCUAGGUGUGGGGGUGUCGACUCCCUCCGUGCCGAAGCUAACGCAUUAAGCCACCCGCCGCGGAGGUACGGCCGCGAGACGUAAACUUAAAUAGAUAGACGGCGNGAGACGNGCCGACGACGACGACGAGGGAGGUAGG
rnacentral:rRNA from 1 species